GAUGAACGCUGGCGGCGUGCCUAAUACAUGCAAGUCGAACGCUGGAAAUCUAGCUUGCUAGAUUGAAGGAGUGGCGAACGGGUGAGUAAUACAUAAGCAACCUACCCACGAAGACUGGGAUAAUCUCUGGAAACGGGGACUAAUACCGGAUAGGUAAUCGGAAGGCAUCUUCUGAUUAUUAAAGGUUAAAAACACUGGUGGAUGGGCUUAUGGCGCAUUAGUUAGUUGGUGAGGUAACGGCCCACCAAGACGAUGAUGCGUAGCCGGCCUGAGAGGGUGAACGGCCACAUUGGGACUGAGACACGGCCCAGACUCCUACGGGAGGCAGCAGUAGGGAAUUUUCGGCAAUGGGGGAAACCCUGACCGAGCAACGCCGCGUGAGUGAUGACGGCCUUCGGGUUGUAAAGCUCUGUUGUAAGGGAAGAACGGUAGAUAGAGAAUAUCUAAAUGACGGUACUUUACCAGAAAGCCACGGCUAACUACGUG
rnacentral:rRNA from 1 species